rnacentral:ncRNA from 1 species
GAUAACUGGCUUGUGACAGCCAAGCGUUCAUAGCCACGUCGCUUUUUGAUCCUUCGAUGUCGGCUCUUCCUAUCAUACCGAAGUAGAAUUCGGUAAGCGGUCCGUGACUGCGGCACACAAUUUACUCCCUUUGGGGUGCCCAACCGGGAGAUGCAAUAAGUGUAGCGAGUUGUACAGGCC